UCGCCCGCACGCUUCUGGGCGCGCAGCGUGCUCGUCGAUAAGCUACGGCGCCUGGCCGACGACGGUGAGGCGCCUGCCCCGGUCACGCCCUCGUUCCAAUACGCCGUGUUCUACCUCCUCUUGAUCAUGUGCUUCGGCGAGAGGCUUGACGAGAAGGUGGUGCGCGCCAUCGCCGCCGCGCAGCACGAGCAGGUGCGAUACAUGUUCGGCAAGAUGUCCGUCUUCGCCUUCCUCCCGUCGGUCGCCGAGCACCUCUUCCGCGGACGCGUCCGGAAAAUGCUUUCCCUACGCCGGCGGCAGAAGGAGCUGUUCCUACCGCUGAUCGACGCGCGUAGGGAGUACAAGGACAAGAAACGCGGCGGCGAGCGCGAGCCGAGGCGGAGCAAAUCGGGAACCACGUUGGAGCACUCGUACGUGGACACGCUGUUCGACGUCAGGCUCCCUGAGGAGGGCAACCGUCGACUCACUGAUGACGAGAUGGUCAACCUCUGCUCGGAGUUCCUCACCGCCGGGGCUGACACCACCUCCACCGCACUGCACUGGAUCAUGGCCGAGCUGGUGAAAAACCAGGCCGUCCAGCAGAGGCUCUACGAGGAGAUCAAAGCCAAGACAAAAGACGGCCAUGAAGAGGUCUCUGAGGAAGACAUUCAGAACAUGCCUUACCUCAAGGCGGUGGUUCUUGAGGGCCUGCGGAAGCACCCGCCUGUGCACUUCGUGCUGCCGCACAUGGCAGCAGAGGACGUGGAGGUCGGCGGCUACCUCGUCCCCAAGGGUGCCACGGUGAACUUCAUGGUCGCCGAGAUGGGCAGGGACGAACGGGAGUGGGAGAAGCCCAUGGAGUUCAUUCCGGAGCGGUUCUUGGAAGGCGAACAAGGGGUGGACAUGACAGGCAGCACGGGGAUCAGAAUGAUGCCGUUCGGCGUCGGCCGGAGGAUCUGCGCCGGUCUGAACAUUGCCGUGCUUCACCUGCUCUACUUGGUGGCCAACAUGGUGAGAGAAUUCGAGUGGAAGGAAGCGGCAGGCCACGAGGUCGACUUGGCGGAGAAGCUCGAGUUCAUGGUUGUCAUGAAGAAGGAGCUGCGCCCACGCCUUGUGCCCCGAAAGCCCAACAUGCAAACUGAAGAACACUUGUAA
rnacentral:rRNA from 1 species